AAUGAACGCUGGCGGCAUGCCUUACACAUGCAAGUCGAACGGCAGCAUGGAGAGCUUGCUCUCUGAUGGCGAGUGGCGAACGGGUGAGUAAUGCAUCGGAAUGUACCGUGUAAUGGGGGAUAACGUAGCGAAAGUUACGCUAAUACCGCAUACGACCUGAGGGUGAAAGCAGGGGAUCGCAAGACCUUGCGUUAUACGAGCGGCCGAUGUCAGAUUAGCUAGUUGGUGAGGUAAAGGCUCACCAAGGCGACGAUCUGUAGCGGGUCUGAGAGGAUGAUCCGCCACACUGGGACUGAGACACGGCCCAGACUCCUACGGGAGGCAGCAGUGGGGAAUUUUGGACAAUGGGGGCAACCCUGAUCCAGCCAUGCCGCGUGAGUGAAGAAGGCCUUCGGGUUGUAAAGCUCUUUCGGCCGGGAAGAAAUCGCACAGGCUAAUACUCUGUGUGGAUGACGGUACCGGCAUAAGAAGCACCGGCUAACUACGUGCCAGCAGCCGCCGUAAUAC
rnacentral:rRNA from 1 species